rnacentral:rRNA from 1 species
UAGAAGUUGUCGGAUGAGUUGUGGUUAGGAGCGAAAGACUAAUCAAACCCUGUGAUAGCUGGUUCUUUCCGAAAUAUAUUUGGGUAUAGCGUCGGAUGCUGAUGAGUGGAGGUAGAGCACUAAAUAAGCUAGGGCCCCUACCGGGGUACUGAACUUAAUUAAACUCCGAAUACCACUCAAUGAAGUCCGGCAGUCAGACUGUGGGGGAUAACCUUCAUAGUCGAGAGGAGAAUAAUCCAUACCAUCAGUUAAGGUCCCAAAAUAUGGCUCAGUGAAAAAGGAUGUGAUUUUGCUUAGACAAUGGGGAUGUUGGCUUAGAGGCAGCCAUCAUUUAAACAGUGCGUAACAGCUGACCCAUCGAGCGAAAUUGCGCCGAAAAUGAUCGGGACUUAAGCCAUAUACCGAAGCUAUGGGUGCACCCUAAAAAGUGCGCAGUAGGAAAGCGUCCCAUGUGCAGCGAAGGGGAAGGGGUAACCGACUCUGGAGCGCAUGGGAGUGAGAAUGCAGACAUAAGUAACGAUAAAGCCGGUUGAAAUCCGGCUCGCCGAAAUCCCAAGGAUUCCUGGGGAAGGUUCGUCCGCCCAGGGUUAGUCGGGUGCUAAGACGAGGCCGUAAGGAAUAGUCGAUGCCAAGCAGGUUUAAUAUUCCUGCACCACUGUAUAUACGUUCGACCUAAGGAGUGACGGAGAAAGUUAAUUCAGCGACGUGUUGAAUCGUCGUCUAAGCUUGUAGGCUGCUCGGGGAUAAAAGACCGGGUAAGGCUAAAGAGCAAUGGGACCUUGAGGCUACGGCCGAUGGGGAUUGAAUGAUACUCGGCUUCCAAGAAAAACUUCGUAGUUAGUAUAUGCGGUGCCCGUACCGUAAACCGACACAGGUGGGAUAGAUGAGUAUUCUAAGGCGCGCAGGUUAAAUCUCUCUAAGGAACUCGGCAAAUUAACCCCGUAUCUUCGGUAGAAGGGGUACCGCGCAAGCGGUCGCAGUUAAUUGCGUCAACCGACUGUUUAGCAAAAACACAGCACUCUGCUAAGUCGCAAGACGACGUAUAGGGUGUGACACGUGACCAAUGCGGAAAGGUGAAAGUCUUGGGUGCAAGCUCAGGAUCUAAGCCCCCGUGAAUGUCGGCCGUAACUAUAACGGUCCUAAGGUAGCGAAAUUCCUUGUCGGGUAAGUUCCGACCCGCACGAAUCGUGUAACGAGUUGACGACUGUCUCGGAGAGAGGCCUGGUGAAAUUGUAGUGGCGGUGAAGAUGCCGCCUACCCGCAGCAGGACGGAAAGACCCUAUGCACCUUUACUGUAAGCUGUUAUUGUCGCUUGAGUUUCAAUACGUAGAAUAGGUGGGAGACUGCGAAGCCCGGUUCCAGGAUCGGGCUGAGUC